rnacentral:tRNA from 1 species
GGGGUUGUAGCUCAGAGGUAGAGUGCUUACUUUUCACGCAUGAGGCUCUGGGUUCAAUCCUCAGCACCA